rnacentral:rRNA from 1 species
GAUGAACGCUGGCGGCGUGCCUAAUACAUGCAAGUCGAGCGAACGGACGAGAAGCUUGCUUCUCUGAUGUUAGCGGCGGACGGGUGAGUAACACGUGGAUAACCUACCUAUAAGACUGGGAUAACUUCGGGAAACCGGAGCUAAUACCGGAUAAUAUUUUGAACCGCAUGGUUCAAAAGUGAAAGACGGUCUUGCUGUCACUUGUAGAUGGAUCCGCGCUGCAUUAGCUAGUUGGUAAGGUAACGGCUUACCAAGGCAGCGAUGCAUAGCCGACCUGAGAGGGUGAUCGGCCACACUGGAACUGAGACACGGUCCAGACUCCUACGGGAGGCAGCAGUAGGGAAUCUUCCGCAAUGGGCGAAAGCCUGACGGAGCAACGCCGCGUGAGUGAUGAAGGUCUUCGGAUCGUAAAACUCUGUUAUUAGGGAAGAACAUAUGUGUAAGUAACUGUGCACAUCUUGACGGUACCUAAUCAGAAAGCCACGGCUAACUACGUG